UUUUUUUCUCCUUUUUUUUCUUUCUUUUUUUUUUUUUCGUCUCUAAUUCUCAGGUAUUGAUUGAUUUGCCGGAGGGACGGACACGGCGGACCGAGGAAGCCCCGCGCAAAGGAAACAAAACAGUACAAGUUUUAUCUCCUUUCUCAGAAGUCAUGCGUUUAUUUCGUCACCUCUCUGUUUUUUUCCUUCCGUUGCGAGGCGUGUAAGGUCGUGGACUGCAAGGAGGCGAGAGAGGCCAGUGAGUGAUCUUGACAAGAAGUAGCAGACUGUAGUGAUGCCGCUCUGAACUGACUGACGCGUAACUUCCUUUGCAAACCUGUCGCUUCCCCCACACCUGUGAGUGAGGCGCAGGAGAAGCACCCUUGAGAAUCCGGCUAAUCAUCUCUGUGGCCCUUGAAAAAUAGACGUGGCGAGAGAACAGAUCGUUUCUGUUUGCGGACUAAUAUCGCGUCUGUCCAACCUUCCCUACUGAAAUCAGGACAUGGUGUUGGUUGUUUUUGCCGUGCAUCACCACACGCCGCCUCAAACCUGAAGGUCAUCAGGAGGAUUUAGAAGCGAGACUCUCCAACUUUCAGCUGUUUUGGUGACCUUAUGAAUGUUGAGGGAGAGAAGGGGAGGAGGGAGGAGGGGGGUGAUAAUAGCAUGUUGAUACUGAUGGUGGGAGGGAGCUUC